GUGUGUGCGCGUGUGCUCGCGCGCUCAGUCGCAUGUGACUGCGGCCCCGUGGGCUGAGGCCCACCUGGCUCCUCUGUCCAUGGCAUUCCUCAGGCAAGAGUACUAGAGUGGGUUGCUAUUUCCUACUCCAGGGGAUCUUCCUGACCCAGGGAUCAAACCCACCUCUCCAGGUGGAUUCUUUACCACUGAGCCGCCUGGGAAGCCCUUACAUUCUGUUGCUGCUGCUGCUAAGUCGCUUCAGUCGUGUCCGACUCUGUGCAACCCCAUAGACAGCAGCUCACCAGGCUCCCCUGUCCCUGGGAUUCUGCAGACAAGAAUACUGGAGUGGGUUGCCAUUGCCUUCUCCAAUGUGUGAAAGUGAAGUCACUCAGUGGUGUCCGACUCUUAGUGACCCCGUGGACUGGAGCCCACCAGGCUCCUCCGUCCAUGGGGUUUCCAGGCAACAGUACUGGAGUGGGGUGCCACUGCCCAAUUAAUGGACAUUUCAAAUUGAAACAAAAAGUUAUUUCGUAUGUAGAAAGCAUGUAAACACAGAACUAUAUGAUAAUGUAUAUUCCGUAAGUAACAAAUACAUGCUAAUAAGUAGAAACUUAUUUAAAUGCUAGCAAAGAAUUCUGUCGUUGUUUAAUUGGUCAUUUUUGAGGGUUUUAAAAACCUUUUUUUUUUUUUUUACCAUCAUGCAUACUAUUCCCAUGGACAUUUGUACAUAAGUUUUUGUGUGGACACAUGUUUUCAUUUCUCUUGGGUAUGUAUACGUAUUUGAACCCAGGACUGUGCUGGAUAAUUUGGAAAGCGUGAUCCCCGUGGAGACCCAGCAGUAGAAUUGCUGGGCCUGUGUUUACCACUUGAGGAACUGCCAGGCAGUGCGUCUCUGCCAGCAGCCUGUGAGGGCUCCGGUCAUGCCACGGCCUCGCCAGCGUUUGUCAGCGGCUGUCUGCUCGCUCGUAGCCACCCUCGGAGUGGGGAGCGGCUGCUCACUUGGCUGUACCUCUGGGCAGAGGCAGUGACAGUCGCACUAGGCGGAUUUCAGGUGCCCAGGAGCCACCCGUGGGCAGCACAGGUGGGCACAGGGCAGCUUCAUUGUUGCAGCCCGGCCAGCGUGUCUCCCCAGACACGAUCUUGCUACAGAGACUGCGUUCCAGCUCUGCUGAUAGAGGUUGCUGGGCGGCUGUCUGGCCACGGCUCUGCUGCUCUCUGUUCCUCCGGGGCCUGGAGGGAGCCUGGAGCGAGCAGCUGCUGGGUCUGAAGUCUAGGGAGCGUCGGCCUUGGGCCGAGUGCUCAUGGGGUGCGGAAGAAGAAGGCCUCAAGCUUGGGAGCAGGCAGACGGUGAUCUGAUCACCGAAUACGGCGUUUUCUGGAAGGAAUAACUGAGAAGUUGGGGGGAGGCCAGAGAGGAGCCUGAGGUCUCGCUGUGCUUCCCUUGUGGGGUGUGGUGGCGGUCACAGCGUUCUCUUUGCUCUGAGGCCUUACCGAGGAGAGGUGGAGCGGAGCCCCUCUUCUGUCUCACUGUUCCUGCCACCAGACCAGUUGGUACAGUUUGUGUCGGGUCGGGCAAGAUGACUCUGGAGCAUUUGAGCAUAGUCUGGGGAAGUGGUCGUUGAGGCUGUUGGAAGGAGCUUUUCUUCCAAAAGGUCAUUCUGUAACUUUCCUUUAUUUCUAAGUGUGUAGAAACCUUCCUGAAACAGACCAGCCUCUUUUUUGUGCUCGGCGGCACCGAGUGUAGAGGCCCUUCUGUUCACAGCAGACUUGCACUUCUGUUACUUGUGUGACUCUUUUCCCAGGCCCGCCAGCGUGUCUCCCCAGACACGAUCUUGCUACAGAGACUGCGUUCCAGCUCUGCUGAUAGAGGUUGCUGGGCGGCUGUCUGGCCACGGCUCUGCUGCUCUCUGUUCCUCCAGGUCCUCUGAGCUGUGAAACCCAGUCUGUUCCAAUCAGGUGGGAGGUUUCCUGUCACGGUUCUCACAGGUGUACAGAACGCCUUACUUUCUGAACGAAGCGUCAAGUCUUACGUUCUGAUGGGGCAUUUUGGAGCUUCCUCUUGAUAAAAGAGAGAUGCUGGGAAACACUUAGGUCCUGAUGCUGGAGUUUCUGGGCUGAUGCUGGGAAACAUUUAGGUCCUGGCGCUGCAGUUUCUGGGCUGAUGCUGGGAAACACUUAGAUCCUGGCGCUGGAGUUUCUGGGCUGUUCUGCUGGUCUCUGUGCAAUGUCAUGACACGUAUUUGAACCCAGGACUGUGCUGGAUAAUUUGGAAAGCGUGAUCCCCGUGGAGACCUGUAAAGCGGCUCGUGCUCACUGCCGGACGGUUACUGCUUCUCUGCGCGUGCGUUGUGUUGGCCGCUUCCGUUAGAGGUCUGGGGUCUUCUUUGUACUGAGAGAACCGGAAUGCAAAGAGUAACUUCCAAUCAGUAGUGUUCAAGAAGGAAGUGCAUUCUGAUUAACUAGUCUACGAAUUUUUCCUCAUUUUCUGUAACGACAUCUAGCUUUCAGACAUUUUUAUUUCAUGGUAAGAUCCUUCGAAAACAAAUUUCUAAAGCGCUUUCUUGCAGUUUUGUUCUCGGGAU
rnacentral:lncRNA from 1 species